rnacentral:rRNA from 1 species
CCUACGGGAGGCAGCAGUGGGGGAUAUUGCACAAUGGGGGGAACCCUGAUGCAGCGACGCCGCGUGGGUGAAGGAGUGCUUCGGCAUGUAAAGCCCUAUCGGCAGGGAAGAAGCAAGACGGUACCUGCUUAAGAAGCCCCGGCUAAUUACGUGCCAGCAGCCGCGGUAAUACGUAGGGGGCGAGCGUUACCCGGAUUCACUGGGUGUAAAGGGAGCGUAGACGGCCAUGCAAGCCAGGGGUGAAAUCCCAGGGCCCAACCCCGGGACUGCGCUGGAACUUGGGUGGCUGGAGUGCGGGAGGGGCAAGCGGAAUUCCUGGUGUAGCGGUGAAAUGCGUAGAUAUCAGGAGGAACACCAGCGGCGAAGGCGGCCUGCUGGACCGCGACUGACGUUGAGGCUCGAAAGCGUGGGGAGCGAACAGGAUUAGAUACCCGGGUAGUC